CUGCAUCAGACCGUACUCAGACAGGUUUCCAGUCUCUCCGUGAUCGGCGUGUGACACGAGCUGCUGAGCAUCAGGACAGGAUCUGACCAUCCGAUUGGCUGACAGCAGGAUGGUCAAAGGGUCAGCUGGUGUGACCUCACCGUUGUCCUAAGGCCCCUUGGAAGUUUGUGUUAGAGGUGCAGUGGUGGGCAGAGUGAAUGGAGGUCUGUGGGCUCUAGGUCGCCCUCUGGUGGAGGAUUGUGAACUGCAGCUGCUGGGUUUGGACUCACUGGAGGGCAGACAGCUGCAGGAGGAGAUCACGCCGUGUUUGGGCUUCAUGAGGAGUGUGUAUUGUGUCUCCUCUCCAUGCGCCCCGUGCCCUGUCUGGGAGAGCCUGCCCUCUGGGACACCUGUCAAUCACACCCGCUGACCGCCGCCCACCACAGUCAGUGACAGUGUUAUUUUGCCAGUAAAUAUAUAAUAUUGAAGUUUUUGUUUUUUUCUUAUACAUCAUCCGCCCAGAACUGCUUCCGUGUACAUCAGUGAGCGCAAGCUAGAUUCAAGUGAUUAUUACAUUUUGAAUAUGGAUAUGGAUAGCAUCGAGUCGCUACAGGAGGCCUUUGUACAGGAGGACUCUAGACUAACUUGCUGCACUGGUUGCACUGGUGCGCCUAACUUUUUUUCUUAGGUGCACCAGCACAAAGUUAGGUGCACCCAAAUUUUCGACCACAUCACAUUUAACACCACAGUUUUACAAGUUCACUUUUUUUUAAAUCGCUGUCCAUAUAGACAAUAUUGACUUGUAAAUGAUUAACUAACAAUCUGGUCAACAUAAAGUUCGUUAUUUGAAGCACAAUUCUACAAGAAAGGUAACUUACUGAAAAAGUGUUGGUGCUUAAAGGGCUUCACUGAGCUGAAAUUUAAACUAAACCAUCUCAAGAUAAAUGAAAUAAAAAGAAAAUAUAAUUUAAGUGUUUUAAGGGC
ensembl:lncRNA